AAUAGAUACCCGGGUAGUCCCAGCUGUAAACGAUGCAGACUCGGUGAUGAGUUGGCUUAUUGCUAACUCAGUGCCGCAGGGAAGCCGUUAAGUUUGCCGCCUGGGGAGUACGGUCGCAAGACUGAAACUUAAAGGAAUUGGCGGGGGGAGCACCACAAGGGGGUGAAGCCUGCGGUUCAAUUGGAGUCAACGCCGGAAAUCUUACCGGGGGCGACAGCAGAGUGAAGGUCAAGCUGAAGACUUUACCAGACAAGCUGAGAGGAGGUGCAUGGCCGUCGCCAGCUCGUGCCGUGAGGUGUCCUGUUAAGUCAGGUAACGAGCGAGAUCCCUGCCUCUAGUUGCUACCAUUAUUCUCAGGAGUAGUGGAGCUAAUUAGAGGGACCGCCGUCGCUGAGACGGAGGAAGGUGGGGGCUACGGGCAGGUCAGUAUGCCCCGAAACCCUCGGGCCACGACGCGGGCUGCAAUGGUAAGGACAAUGAGUUUCGAUUCCGAAAGGAGGAGGCAAUCUCUAAACCUUACCACAGUUAUGAUUGAGGGCU
rnacentral:rRNA from 1 species